CGGUGGGUUUUUAACCCGAUAGGAGAGGCUCCAUUUCACGUGAAAUACCAGAAGAAAGCUGACUGGAAGUAGCUUUCGUUUUCCUGCGUCAAAAGUCACGGAUCGUAGUGUUCCAUCCUGCAUAGCGGCUGCGCCAACUGAGGAGACAGAAGCCUGUGAGCUGUGUGUGUUUUUCCCCUUUUUGUGAAGACCGGCCGGAAGGAUGCUUCCCGCCGAUUACUUCUCCAAAAUCCAUCCUCUUCAACUCGUGAGCAUAUCAGGCCCUCUGCUGUAGCAUCGAACUGACUGAAGUUUCCGAGACCGGACCCGGGGCUGAAGGAGAUCCGCGCGACCGGAGCCAGACCACAUGCUCCCUCGGACCCAUGCUCCUUCACGGACCGGGCAACUCAAAGACAUUAUUUUGCACAACACAGGUGGGAGUGAAUUCCAGAGUUAAGGACCAGACCAGGAGAAAGCUCUUUUCCACAGGAUGACAAGGCAGGCAGGAGGCUUAACAAGAUUGAACCUGUCUGGAACCUGAAACCCAGAAGAGUUUCUCUGCCAGUAAUCUGCCUGUCUGUUCUUUAAAGAACCCUGGAGAACUAUUUCUGUCAAAGACCUGCCUGCCCGCUCUCUAAAGAAACCGGAAGGGAAACUCUAAUCGGUAAUCUGCAAACACUCAAACCCAGCUCUGCCUCCGCCUAGCCCUCAGCCUGCCGACAACCUAUGGACCCUCAAGGUUCCCCCCUCAGCCGCUCAGCUCAACUCCAGUACAGUGAACCCACUAGUGACCAGUCCUGGAGCUGUAAACUCUGUGUGCAUUUCAGAAUCCAUUCGUGACCAGACGAGUUCCCCUUGGGAUCUGUUUAUUUAUUGUAUUCAUC